UGGAAACUGUNUGACUUGAGUGCAGAAGGGGAGAGUGGAAUUCCAUGUGUAGCGGUGAAAUGCGUAGAUAUAUGGAGGAACACCAGUGGCGAAAGCGGCUCUCUGGUCUGUCACUGACGCUGAGGCUNGAAAGCGUGGGUAGCGAACAGGAUUAGGUACCCUGGUAGUCCACGCCGUAAACGAUGAGUGCUAGGUGUUAGGCCCUUUCCGGGGCUUAGUGCCGGAGCUAACGCAAUAAGCACUCCGCCUGGGGAGUACGACCGCAAGGUUGAAACUCAAAGGAAUUGACGGGGGCCCGCACAAGCGGUGGAGCAUGUGGUUUAAUUCGAAGCAACGCGAAGAACCUUACCAGGUCUUGACAUCCCGAUGCUAUUCUUAGAGAUAGGAAGUUACUUCGGUACAUCGGAGACAGGUGGUGCAUGGUUGUCGUCAGCUCGUGUCGUGAGAUGUUGGGUUAAGUCCCGCAACGAGCGCAACCCUUAUUGUUAGUUGCCAUCAUUAAGUUGGGCACUCUAGCGAGACUGCCGGUAAUAAACCGGAGGAAGGUGGGGAUGACGUCAAAUCAUCAUGCCCCUUAUGACCUGGGCUACACACGUGCUACAAUGGUCGGUACAACGAGUUGCGAGCCGGUGACGGCAAGCUAAUCUCUGAAAGCCGAUCUCAGUUCGGAUUGGAGGCUGCAACUCGCCUCCAUGAAGUCGGAAUCGCUAGUAAUCGCGGAUCAGCACGCCGCGGUGAAUACGUUCCCGGGCCUUGUACACACCGCCCGUCACACCACGAGAGUUUGUAACACCCGAAGUCGGUGAGGUAACCUUUUAGGGGCCAGCCGC
rnacentral:rRNA from 1 species